CCUACGGGAGGCACCAGUGGGGAAUAUUGCACAAUGGGCGCAAGCCUGAUGCAGCCAUGCCGCGUGUACGAAGAAGGCCUUCGGGUUGUAAAGUACUUUCAGCGAGGAGGAAGGCAUCAAGGUUAAUAACCUUGGUGAUUGACGUUACUCGCAGAAGAAGCACCGGCUAACUCCGUGCCAGCAGCCGCGGUAAUACGGAGGGUGCAAGCGUUAAUUGGAAUUACUGGGCGUAAAGCGCACGCAGGCGGUCUGUCAAGUCGGACGUGAAAUCCCCGGGCUCAACCUGGGAACUGCAUUCGAAACUGGCAGGCUAGAGUCUUGUAGAGGGGGGUAGAAUUCCAGGUGUAGCGGUGAAAUGCGUAGAGCUCUGGAGGAAUACCGGUGGCGACGGCGGCCCCCUGGACAAAGACUGACGCUCAGGUGCGAAUGCGUGGGGAGCUACCAGGAUUAGAUACCCCAGUAGUC
rnacentral:rRNA from 1 species